GUAAAUAAAUGGGCCAGUCCAACAUGGAGGCCCUGGCAGCUCUGCCGUGGGUGAGCCUGGUGCUCAGCUGCAGAUGAUGACAGAGCUGAGGAGAGACACCACCCUCCUGCUCACAGCCCCAGCCUGUUAAUCUGAAACUGCUGCAUCCCAGUCUUGGUAGAGUUUUUAAAUAGCAAGUCAAGAGGGAAGCCAUGCUUGUGUGGGGACUGAGGGAGCCGAGUUUGAGAUAGCGCAUGGACUGGAAAGGCUGCCAGGACUGCAGCCCUCCUCUUCCCAUCGCCCAUGUGUUGUGAAUAGCCCCUGCCUGUGUUUUGUCUUUAAAGGGUGUUUGCUGUAUUUGCCCCAUCACUCCAGCAGAAGCUGCACUACUCUGUGAGGCCUCAAAGAAGCACCCCUGGGCUCAUGGAAGUGGGGUUAGUCCCUGGUCCUGAAAAAUAAGGUGGAAUGAUUGCCUAAAAUGGUCCUUUCCAGACCUUGAGUAGAUCAUGAUUUUAAGCAUGGCAAUGCAGGGGCUGUCUCCGAGGCACAGAGAGCCUCUGAUCUCACUGGCGUCCUUGGAGUGAUGUGUUAUAAACAGAAAGGAAGGAGAGAAGAGCCCAGGCCUCAUCAUCAGAGAGCGCACGACUAUUUUUGCAGGCAGGAAACCUUACCAGACCCAAUAGCUUGGACCUGGAUGUGCUUCUGAGAGGUAGCCAACCUUUCCUAGAACCAACCUUUUGCACUCUUGCUGUUGAAAUCUCCAUGCUGACAUCCUAACCCUGCUGGAGUGCAGCCUUUUCAUUUCUUGGAUGUGCCAGCAAGCUCUUUAUUAUUUUUUUUUUUCCCCUUCCCACAGUCAGUCUAUUCAGUCCUUCUUAGAACAGGCUGUCCUGCUGGGACGUUUCAGUGCAAUUAGAUAUUAGGUGUCAGGAGCAGAUAAUGGGCAAACGCCUAUCAGGGGAGAUGGCACUUAGCUAAUCUCUGGCUGUCUGUAUCUAACAGGCUAUUUCGGGGAAAAACAACAACAAUGCGAGAAAGCUCCCACUGUAGAGUCUGUGUCUGAGACUGGCUUCUGGGGCUUCGGGGUUGUGUCGGCAUUUCCACCCCGGCUUCACUUGGUGCUUUCCCAGCAGCCUUGUUUUCACAGCUGCCCCAUGACCGGGCAGGAGCCCGUAAAUGAUCGUAGCCACAGCUCUUGCAAGACCUCGUUGUUGGCACAUCUGUUUUCUGCUAGAUCCCUUUGGUGUUGCCUUGGUUGUUUCCCCAGGCAAACCAAGAACCUAGGUAUGGAAGCGUGUGGGAAAAGAUGAGCUAUUAGGAUAAUUAGCAUCGUCCGUGAAACCUCGACAUCUUAGAUGCCUGUUACAUCAGAAACAUUCAGGGUUGAAGUCACAUCUUUAAGCAUUUUAGUGAGCUUGAGCACUUGACUGUGUAUCUCCAGCAUCUGCCUGGUUUAGGUGUCUUACAUCAUCUUUCUGGGAUCUGUUUCAGCAGCAGAUUAAAAAAUAAAGUUAAAUAAAACCUAGGAUGGCUGAUAUUACACACUUGGAUUUUUUUUUUUUAAGUGUUCUCUGCCUGAAACUAAUUAGCUCAGUGCUAAUUCGCCCUAAGUAGUGAAUUGCUAGGGUGGCAGCUAGUGGAUGCUGUCAUUCAGACACCAAAAUCUAGUUCCUGGUGAACUGAGAGCCCAGGUGAGCCUCUCCAGCUGACACGAGUGUUGUUACUCUGAAGACUUGCCCUGGGUACCCCAGCUGGUUGCAACAGGAGAAAAAGCAGAAGCUAUAUGUAUAUGAAGGCUUUGGGAAAAUAACUUUAAAGAGAAAUAAAAACUCCAUCUUCCUGCUCACUGCUGUCCCACACAAAAAAAAAGAAAAUCUCACCAUGUAACUCCUGAAUUACAGGAAUUCCUGGAGCCCCAGCAAACUCUGCCUAAUCUCUCCCAGUCCCUCACGUAUCGCCUCUGAAUGUUUUCAGUGAGUUCCCAGACCUCGUGCUUUCCUGCUCCUGAUAACUAGCCAUUGCUGGGAUGCCAGAACCACUGCACUGCAUAGUUCAGCUAUCAACAGAAAUAUAGUGAGAUAAAGGGGAUGGUUAAUACCAGAGUGUCUGUGGUAAUGCAGAUGUCAGAGAUACUCAACUGGCUUUCCCGGACAAGUUCUUUAAAUGGGUCAAGUUACUUUGGGAAAAUAGUAUCUAGCUCUUUUGAGAGUGUGAACAUCCAUAAGAACAUCAUGCAGACAUUUCCUCCUGUUGAAGAGUCGGGCAUCCAUCAAAUAUAUCCAUAGUACUUCAGAGUCUUGGCAAAGUAAUGCCACCUCAUCUGGGGCUUUCCGAAGAUAGCCUCCCGGGCACUGAGCGGGUUUGGAAAGCUCAGAGUUGCGACUGAAGAUGAAAAGCCGGCCUGAAUGCAGGGCAAUGAGUUCCUUUGAGAAUUAAGCCCAUAAAAAAAAAAUGAAAUCUGACAGAGGAGCUGAAGGAUUUGUUGCGAUGGAUGAGCAAUUGUAGGAUCACAGAUGCCAAAGAGGAAGAAUAGGGCUGUUGGGUCUUCCUGCCAGGUCAGGGCUGUCUAGUCCAGCAACCUGGUCAGUUGUUUCGAAUGCGGGUUUCCAUUGCUUCCCUUCUGAGACCAUUUGUGUUUCCUGAUAGGAAAAGGUAGUAACAAUGAGAUCUAACUCCCAGGCUAUAUUUUUCUUCCAUCUAGCUGCUGGCUAAUGUUCUUAAUCCUUUUAAUGGGAAAUACAUAUUCCAAAAAGAGGGAAGGGAUUUCUUGGGGACCCUCGGAUGAUGUGCCGUUGGCAAUGGUGUUUUCACCAGCGUGAAGACUUUGCUUCUAGCUUUGGAAAUAUCUUCGAGCUAUGGUGAACUCAUGAGUGAAAUGAGGGUUCAUCCCUCCUUCUGAAUCUCAUCAGUGGGAUGCCCAAAUAACCCUGCGUAAUGCACUACUGCAUGUGUCAGAGCAAAUGUGCUCAUAUUGUGUGGAAGAGCAGGGUAGAACGUGAAUUUGAGCUAAAAUUUCUACAUUUGAGACUGACACCCACUGAGCGGUGGUGGUUUGAGCACAUUUGGGAGUUUAUAGCUGCUAUGGGCAUGGAUUCAGAGGGUGACUGGAGAUCCUCAUGCUGGAGAAGUUCUGGAGAAAUGGAAAAUGAUACUGGUUAUACUAGCCCAGGAUUUUAUCCGUGGGUCUCUGGAUCAGCCCCUGGGACUCUUAUUCCUUUGCACUGAGUAGGGGAAGCGGAGGCUGCAUUUACUCCUCCAUUCAUGGGGAUGCUGCACGUCACCAUUUAUAGAGGGGGAUUGGUCUCAGCUGUGAAGGCAGCUGCCCGUCUGCCCCUUCUGACGGUUAUUUAAUGCUUGUUAAAGGAACUCACCCUUUAGUUUAGAUUCAGCAUUUCACUUGAUAGCUUUCUGGGCAGCCACCGGGGCUGGGAAAAGGGAGGGAAGAGGAAUCCCAAGAGCAGUAGCAAGACAGAGGAGAAUAGCUGGGGAAGGGAAAAAAAAAUAUAAGGACAUUGUUUCUAACAGCACUUAGUGGCCUAGAUUUUCUUUUCACAGCUAUUUCAAAAGUCUGCUUUAUUGUAGAGCCAUUCAGCUUUUAUUGGUAUAUAGUACACUGGGUAGCAGCAGCCACUGUUGUCUGCACGGCUCUUAACAUGAUACUCUGCCAGAUGGCAAGAAUAUAAACCUGCGUUUGUACUCCGGGACUGAUCAAAGUUUUUUGCUGUUGUCACCCCUGUAACGUUGUCACAGAUGUAAGGCUACUACACCCUGGCUCUCAUCCCCGCUACCUCCCUGUGUAAAUGCAGUACAGUGCCCCUUUUCAUAGCAAUGUAAUGCUCACAUUCCUUAAAUCCCAAGGAUAACCCCGUGCAGGGGAGGAUGCACCGCGAGGUUUCACCAGGAGGUUUUUAGGCAAGGUUUGUGCACAAGUGAGCACAGGGAGUGAAGCUGGAUGGGGGGGGAGACCUCUAGUAGAUGGAAAUCAGCAGCCCAGCUACGUAACUGCACCGAGCUACUCCAGGGCAGAACCCAGCCUGGGAUCUCAGCAGGAAUCCCGAAAAGGAUUUGGGAAUGAUUUAAAAAAAAAAAAAUGCGCAAGGCGAUGUUCAGUGGUUUCGGAUUAAGAAAAUUUGGUGGAGGAGAGAAGCUGCCUUGGGAGGGGGAGUGGGACUGUGCCUCUGUAAUGGGCAAAGAAAAAUCCCACCCCGUGCAGGGAGGAGAUGCAGGGGUCCUGCUCCCUGCAGGUUGCUCAAUUUAAGCAGAAGAGGGGAGAGCAAGCAUCAUGAGCCGUGUUCUUCGCCCUGCCCUCUAAAGAAAUGACCUGCAGCCGAGAGGGAGAGGGAAAGCAACGUCCAGAGGUCUGUAGGACUACUUCUUUAGAUGUUUUUUACAAGACUGCACCCUUGUAAUCUCACCUGAUGCUGCUGGACCAGGGCCUCGUUGUGUGGCAAGGGGAGAUGAUCCCCUUCACCAUGCUGCCGUGUAUGAAUCACCUCCAGGAAAACACGGCUGAUGCAUGUUGUAAAAAAAAAAAAAAAAAAAAGCAAAAGCCACCAGUUUUGUCCUCCUGACGUUCCACAGAAGUGGCAACUUUUCCCCUCUCUCUCUCUUUUUAAAUUUAAAUGGCUUGGGUUUUUCUCACAUUGAUGGGGAGGAGGGGAGAAGCAGCCUGGUUUGGGAUGAUUUAUGGCUCCAGGGUGGCUAACAUUUUGGCGAACCUUGCAGGAAGAGCCCCCGAAGCAUGCCAGCUGUAAUCUGCCGAGCUUUCGAAAGAUACACUCAGCAAGAUAACGUUUUAUUUAUCCUUGUACAAACAGCCUGAUGGAAAAUGUGCACGUCCCAGACAAGGAAAUUCUCCCUCCUCCCUCUGCCCCCUCGCCCCAGUUCAGGCUCCCCGGCAGCAGCUGAGCUCUCUUACUCCUGUAGUCCCCGACAGCUUCAAAUUCACUUCCCUCAGCGCCUUCAAAGGAGGUUUUGAUAAAUGCAUUACACUUUACAGCCAGCCAGGGCUCUAAUUGCCAGGAGGAUUACGAUAAGCUUUUUUCUUGUUGUUUCAAAACAAUCUGGAGGACGGCGUGCCCUCCUGGUGCAAAGCUCCCCCCCAGCCCAACCGUAGCCGGGCAGGGAGGAAGCAGCAGGGUGCAAUCCUCACCCUGAUUAUUACGCUAAACUGGGGAUUAUUUGAUUAUAAUCCAACCGAGGCGGUAUGGAGCUCGAUGCAGACCUGCUGGUGACCUGCCCUCGAUGGGGGACUUGUGCCAAGGCAGCUUCUCCGUCAGCCGCCAAGCACCCUGGCACCUCCGGGGGCUCGGGAGUCCCAGCACCAGACCAGCCUCGUGGGCCAGCGAAGUGGGAAACUUAAGAGGUCUGUCAGCCCCUGGGAGCGAUAUCCUUUCUCCAGCCAUGCAGUUAUUUGUGCAUCAAUGCUUUUUUUUUUCUUUGUGAAAGGACGCUCUUGCUCCUGUGCUGCUAAGUUUAAUGACCAGGGUCUGGUUAAAAAGUAACGCAGGGGAAAAAAAGUAGAGCUGCCUUAAGUUGUGAUCUAAAAAUAGGGAAACCUAUGCCAUUAAAUUGAGAGGAUUUAGAAGCAUAACCAUAAAGCCAAGAAGAGUUUGCCAGGAGCUAUCAAGUGACACAGAUUUCAACUCCCUGCUUCUCCUAAUUUUCUUCUUUUAAAGGUGAACCGAGCAGGCUUAGGUUACUAUUUUGCUGCUUUUCACUACAAACAGAAUCCAGGGGGUUCCCACCGUGAUGGAUACUGUUAGAGUUUCUUUUGUAAUUGUUAUUGAUUUUAUUAGUAAUAUAUUUCUAACUCUUUACCUGUCAGCAAAGAAAAUGCUUUGUAAGGACUGCUUAACCCUUAAAUAUCCCAAGAUGGGAUUGAUACAUACACGACAUGUAUGGUUACUGUUCUUGGAUUUAACAAAUUACCAUUUAAAUCUCAAAGCUGACUGAUCUGAGAGGAAUCCCUUCCAUCUUUGCCAUUACCUGCCCCUCUGUCCUCCUGCUCAUUGAUAGUUUCAGCAUGGCUCAGCGAGAUGCUUUCGGAGGAGAUGAGUUUGGUUUUGUUUCCAUUUCUCAGUAGGGUUGGCAGGAGACAAUGGAAGCCUUGUUCCAGCAUCACCUUUUUGUGUCUAGAAAAUUGAUUUUCAUCUCGAAGGCAGAUUCCCAGUUAGUUGGCAUCUUUGAUUAAUCAACGUUGGUUUUUAAUGAUAUUUUUUUGGCUACUUACCUACUUUUGAUUGGUCCAGGCUUCAAUAUUUGCCCCAAAGCCCUAUAUACUACUGAGAUUGUACACAUGAGCUUGUGUUCACCUCAGAUGACACAGUGCCAGUCUCAGUAUUGCUUUGUAUGAAAGAGUAUCAGGUGGCUUGCUAUCAAGGAAGGCCUCAUUUCUCCUUUUUUUCUAGACAGUCUCUUUGAAUCAGGUGGGCUCUGUCCCUUUUUCACAUUCUUGAGCAUGAACAGAGCUGUCCAGUACGCCAAAAGGCAGCCUGACAGACAAACAAGGAAAUAUUCAGGGAACUUUGAAGGUGAUGAAAAGCAAAAGUUAUUCUAGAUAAGCUCUGGAACAUACUGCCAUGAGAUAACACCAUGGGCACGUGCUGGUUGGGAUUAAAAAAUAUGUAGAUAUGUUGAUAAUGGGAAUAUCUGCUCUCAUGUUACCCUGUUCUUCUUUUUUAAGGGAUGCUAAUCCUGAUGCUUUAAAGGCAUAUGCUGAAUACUGAACAUACGGUUAUUUAAGGACUGCUUUACUGGUGUAUGAUGGUAUGCUAUGCAGUCAGUGGUUUCCUAGUGUGAGCAUAGCUGCUAAAACAAAGCCAUACUUCAGCCCACACAGCUGAAGCAUCUUCUGAAAACCAAAGAUAAGUGCAGGAUUUCUGGUACAUGUUGUAUAUGCUGGACGCUCCGGAGUGAGGCUGGGAUCGCUGUUAAGGAGCAUCAUCCUUACAGGACUAACACCCUCCAAAGACUUACAGCUUCCUCCUGGAUGUCUGGAGGCAGAAGAAUCAUGUGUCAUCCCAUUUGGUGUUUCUGGCUUUCCCUGGUGCAUUGGGGUGAACUCACCAUCAGCUUCAGAAGCACCCCUCCAGCCCCCAUGCUUGCAGCUGGUUGUUUAACUGGAAUUCAGCUGGUAGGGCAGACAGAUGCUGCUGUCCUAAACAUAAGCUGCUGUCCCCAUUAAACAUGCUGUAUGAGCUAAACCACUGCUGCAUGCAUGGGUGAAGUCUGAGUGUUUUCAGUGUGCUAUAAAUGAAAAGGAAACAGAAGAAACAGCAGAAUGACCUGGCUGAAGAUUUUGGAGAAUGGUUCAAUCUGAAUUGGUAACUCUACCUUUAGUCAGGUAUAUUCUGCCAACUUCAAAACUGGAUGGGAGAUGCCAGAGGCUUUCUAUAAAUUUCAGUGGGAAUUGGGUCAAUUUUCUGACCCACCACAAUCUCCCUCGAGCUCCUUUAGCUACUCUCUUGUUUCAGAACAAUCCCAUUUGUUUUUAACUCCCCCUCCCUGUCCCCAUCGACCCAGCACUCCAGUUUAUUUAGCAGAUGUUGGCCUAAACUUUUGUAGCAAGGGUAAACAGAGCUAAGGUCAAUCAGAGAAACACAGCACCCCAGGAGAGCUGCUGCUUUUCACCGCUGCUGGCGAGCCUGCGUCCAACUGGAAUUGGAGGGAAGCUGAAAAGACGUGGGUAGGAUUAGUCCCAUCGAGUACAGGAGGGUUUAUAUGUAUAAAAAAACGGUCACACAGUACAAAAGCGUGCAACCCUAACAUGAACUGGGUAAAUCUAUACUCUCCUCAUGUUUCCUCCCUUUGAAGACCUCGCGUUUUGUACUCUCAGCGAUUACCAUGUGAAUCAGUGAUUUUUAAAAAAAAACCACAAACCCAGCAUCUUGAUAAGAAUCCGUUUGUGCUUUACCAGCCCAUCCUAUAAGGUAACCAGAGCAAGGUUCUUUCACUCCAGCCAUUAUUGGCAACUCAGAUUAUGUUCUUCAAAGUCUGUCUGUCUCGUUCAAACACAAGGUCCGUAUCUUGGCUGAACAUUAACGUUACCUGAUAGGCCCUAUGUCCAGCUCCACCUUGCCCUUCCCAGCAGGUUAGGCUUUAUAGCCGAGUCACAACGUGAGCAGAGGGAAUAAAGAGCCUUUGUGCUCCUCUUGGGUCCAUCCCCUGAAGCUGAUCAGGCACCGGGAUUGAUUACCGGUCAGGUAAAAGACCCGAUAACCUCCCAAAUCUGUAUGCAGACCCCUUUCUGGCUGCUUCCUCCUCUGAUUUGCAUUUCAGGCUUCUGUCUCGUUUUGGAAACGAUUUGCUCUUUCUUGCAGUGCGGUGCAAACGGGAGGAAGUUAACAUGAGAAGAGUCAGCAGGGAAGGCGUGAGCUUGAAGGCCACUGUUUGGCUACUAUACAAACAGGAAUUCAGGCCAUCACCUGUUAUUUAAAGCAUAGCAAUGACUAGCUCAGCUCCUCUUCUUCACAACUACUAGGAAUCAGCAUUAAUUUAUCCAUUUAUUAAAUGUAUGUAGAUAAAAUGACAUUAAAUUAUUAAAGUUGCAAAACAAAGAAUCGAAGAAAACAUCCUCUUCUGGCUUAAUUCAGCAUCUGCAUGCAUAUGCCACGUGAUACAAUUUCUAAUCAGAAGCUCUCCUACCAUUUUUCUCAUAAAAUUACAGUUCCCCAUAAAAAUGUAAUUACAUGUCCCAAGCAUGCGAAACCUUAGCCCAAACAGUUCUGUUAGGCACAAUUACGAGCAAUUUAACUUCUGUCAUCUUCAGUUUUAACAACCUGAUGAUUCUCACCCUAACCACAGAGACUCGUGGUAGCUGUUAAGUCCCAUGUGGAACUCUGCAGUUUCUUCUGCUUGGGAUAGGAACAGCCUGUGAAGAAAUUCUGUAUUAAAAGGGUGUUUUUGUUGUUGUUGCUUUUGGUUUUAAUGUUGUUUCUUUUAUGUCAGCCUCAGCAAAGUGGUGAAUUUUGUUCAGUGGCUCUUCUCUCUCUGCUCUGCUGGUGUGUGAGUAGAAAUGAGUCCAGUUUGAGGUAAAGGCUGGGAAAGUGGGACUGUGCCCAUGCUGUUGGUGUCCGCGUCUGCUGGAGGAUGCUCGCCUUCAUGUGAAAACGUGGAAAACUCGAGGAAAUUAUGCUUCUCCCUCCUCCAUUCGGGAAGUGACCCACCAGGCCCCAAAUCCCUCACUGCUGCAUUAUAGGAGCUGAGAGGAGAGGUGAAGCCUCUUCUCACCUAAACCCAACAAUUAUAAACAAGCCAUUUAGCCGGAGCAUAAAAGAUUGUAUAAAUGCAAGUAUGCCUUCCCUUAGGGUUUUCCAUCAGAGGGGCUGUUACCCUGACACCCAGCCCUGGGGAACAGCCUGCUCUUUUGUGAGCGAUUCCUAAGGGAGGUCUGAGGAAUUUUGAAGCUGUCAGGCUGUAAUACCCUGGUUUUAGCUUUUUCGAGAAAGCGCACUGUUUUCCAGAGACUGAAGCCAGACUGCUGGCUUAAAGCUGCUACAUUUCACCAAAAGAAUGCUGAUUAUUUCACAGUCAUGCGAGCGCCUGACCGGUAAAACGUGUGGGCAGUCUGUGAUUUUUUUUUUCCUCCCCCCCUGUUUUUUCACCGAUUUGGCUUCUUAAUACAAUGCCUGAAGAUCUUUUGAAAGGGCCAGAAAAAUCUGCUGACGGCUCACGCAGCUGAUUUGACCCAGAGCGCCUGCUUGGCUGAGCAGAAAGAUGACACUGCAGCAAAAAUGUUACUUUAAGGGAAAAGAAAACACGCGCAGUGCUCCUGCUAUUGUUCCCAGCCUCUGUUCUGGUGCCAAGCUCGGCACUUAGGAAAACACAGAGGUACCAGGUUUUAACCUUUCGCCUGCUUCCCGCAGGUGUUAUCUUUUGCUCUGAAUGGGCAGGACGAGGGCCACAAAUCACGUUUCUAGCCUCCAGCAGCCCCGCUGGCUACGAGGAGCUUUUUAGCGGGUUUCGCAGUGAGCAGCUUAACGAGAUUUUCAGCAAAAAGAGGCAUUUGCUCAGUCCUACUCUUUCUAGGUUUUCAGCUGGUGUCUUCUCUUGCAGUGCUGACAAAUAGUGGGGGCGGUUAGGAUAUCCAGCCUGCGCUGAAUAGGAGCCAUGGAGCAGGCAGGUCUCUCUGUUUUUGUGAUUUAACUACAUUUCAUCACUGACAGAGGAGUUGGAAAGAAAUCUGAAAUGACUUUAGCGAGGUUCCCGUUUAAAUAGUGAUUGUUUCGAGCGAAAAUGGUUCGGGCAAGGAGAGCAAAGUGCUCUGACUUCAAAGCUUGUCAUUGUGGAGAAAUCUGAUGGUGAGUGGUCACGCAUACCUGCCCGUCGCUCCUACGGCAGCCAAGCCAAGGGUGCUGGCAGGCAGCCUGGGCGUGUUCCCCUUACAGUCUGGGUGAGAGAUCCUCAGCUGGUGCAAAUCACGAUAGCUGUGUUUAAGUUGGAUUUUUUUUUAACUUACUGGCUGCACUGAGGGCUGGACUCCACUUAUGAGCCUGUGGGAGCUUCCUAAAAGCCUCCGAUCCUGUUAUUUGUUGAAAUAUUAGAGAAAUCCUUUGAGUCCAAGAAAAUUGGGUAUAUGUAUGAACAAGACUUGCACUCGUUCAGUUUGCCAGGCUGCCUUGCUGUCCCUUUGCACUGAAGAGGACACAGAUAAAUCCCUAGGUGGACUGUGUGUGCCCUUCAUAUCUGCCACAAGAAACCGAACCCACUCAUGUAGCCCAGCUGUAGGGACGUUUUUAUGAAGACCUACCAUGUCAUGUUCUUGUAGCUCAGCUUGGUCCUAUCCUGCAUCACUGGGACAGGGCAAUCAGAGCUCAGCAACGUGUCUCCCUGUAAUUUUUGAGCAGUCUUGGUGCUUAGCUGGACAUAUGGAGGCCACGGGCUUUCUUCUCCUCAGUAGAUGCAUGUCAAGUUCACAGGUGUGAGCACUCCUGCCAUGUAGUUUGGGUCACUCCAUCUUGCAAGGAUGAGCCAUCAGUGAUGACAAACGGGUGCCUCUAAGUAUUGAGAAGGUGCCUGGGAAGCAGGCAAAUUAUCUCAGAAACAUCUCAACUAACUCUGGUCAAGAAAACCAGCUUUAUUUGGCCUCUCAUCUGUUGAUUUGGUGAGCCUUUUUUUUGGAAGAUGUGGAAAGUUAGAUGAGAUGAAAAUUGGCAGUUCAAGUCUGGAGAUUGCUUGUUUGUCUAUGAGUGUAAUAAAAAUGAAAGGCAUUUAAUAUUCAUUAGGUGUUUUUGACAGCUACUCACUUUUAGUCUAUCUGUGAAUAUCCUCUUGUAAAACUGAAAGCGAUAGGUGUUGGUGAAAGUCCACUGCCACAAGCACUGCUUGGUGCUUGUGUCAGCAAGGGAGCUGUGUUAUUUUGCACCACUCAUGCCGUAUGACAAGUUUGAACCAAUUCAGACCUUUCUGCUAGUAAAAAGAUGCUCGGCCUCUCUCUGAGUGCAAUGUCACCAGAAGUGCCCAGAGUGUUGGAAGUGGUGUGUACACAGCUGAGAAGAUGUUACAGGAGGAGGCUGUGGCUGUGGCUCUCCAAAGGCUGGCAGAUCUAUCUCCAGUUGCUUUUUUUGAGAUUUAAAAAAUAAAUAAAAUACUGUUCUGCAAAAAAAAAAAAAAAAAAAAAAAAACUUAUGCAUUGGAGCAAACCCAGAAUGUUUAACUUUUUUUUUUCUUUUUUCUUUUUUUUUUUUUUUUUCUCCCCACAAGAUAGAAUGUCACCCAACUAUUCCUUUUGGACUGAAAAUCUUGGCCUUUCCAUUCCUCCUGGCCACUGUGCGAGACCACUAAAGCAUGCAGUUACUUAUCCCUAUUUCUUCGGGAUGAGCUACGCGUGGCCAUCCUGGCAGUAGGAGUUCAGCUGUGCCUGUGCAACCUGGCCCAGAUCCCACAGAGCCCUUCUCUGCUGUCAGUGAUGACUUUAGGGUGAAGCUCUACCCUGGCUUUUGCCAGGAUUCUCCUUGUUUGUGGAUCCAUUGUCGCUUAACCCCUCCAAAUCAUAUUUUAAGUACACACGAAGCUAUUUCCCCCUCACCAAGAUAAAUCUUGUGGGCCCGCUGGCUGGCUUGCUCUGGGUUGUUAUUUUCUCUGUUGCUGGGUUUGUUGUCAGGUCGUGCUAACCUGACCAUGGAUGUAUGUGUACGAUGAAGGAAACAUGGGGCUGAUUCUUCAGCUAAGGUUCAUAGCUGAGUUGCAAUGGCUUAGCUACACCAAUUUUCUGUAAGUGAGCAUUUGUGUCUUUUAAAGAGACCUGGCCCCUAAGGAAAGAGUUUGCUGAUACAUGGGCCUGCAGCCAAGGCUGGACCAACCUGCUGGGGAAGGGGUGAUGGGAAAGAAAGGGAGGAGAGGGAAAGAAGUCAGAACUUCUAACCAGAGGUCUGGUGGUGAUGCUAUCUAGGACCGAUUUCCCUUAGUGAAAAUCUAACCACUUUAUUUGAAAAAAAAAAAAAAAAAAAAGGAAAAAAAAAGUCAGAUGAAUUGCACCAUCUCCAUUAGACAGAUGGGGAAAUGAGGCAGAGAAAGAUGAAAGGACUUUGGCCUAUUCAUCCCACCGGGAAAACAACAACAUCCAGGUCAGCCAAGUCCCUGUCUUUUUUCCUUCACUCCUCAGGCCGUGGCUUUCCAACUACCUUGCACCUGUGUAAAUAGCCAGGCAGGUGUAAAGCUGCCGUGGCCAUCCGCUGGGGAGACGGCUGCACUCAGAGCCAUCCUCAGAGGGUACUUGUAGCCUUCCUUGUUCUUCUACCAGCCCCUUGGGAUGGCCUGUAGCCUCCCCAGAGGAGGAGGCAUUGCUCUUGCAGCGUAAAAGCCUGUAGUCAGCACAAGAGAUUUCAUGCUCUGUCUCUUGAAAUCCAAUAUGAAGCAGUUGCCUUCUCUCUGUCCCACAGGCUCGUUACGCGGCUCCGUGUGUGGCCUCUCCCCGUAAUUAACCUGAGGGGGUUACUUUCCUUUUCUAAUUUGUAGGAAGUGGCUCAUGACAUCUGUUGCAGCCCUGAGGCUCCUUCCUGCAAACCUUUAGCUGUUUUUCGUUGAAAGAAAAGAGGUGUAACGAUUAAUCAACGAUUAACCAACUCAAGUCCUGGCUUUGAAAAUAACAUCUUCCAAUUGCUCAAUAAAAACUACUUGGGAGCAGGGAAGAGUGAGUAUGGCUUUUUAUAGGCAACCAUUGGCUUAAACCACAGGCCUGAACAACCUCAUUUCUCUUCAUGUUGACUCUUCAGGAAAAUCAAUCAAUCAAUCAAUCAAUCAAUAAAAAUCAACCUGGAAUGAGUUUUAAUGUGCUUUGCUUUAUUUAUGCUGUUUUAUGUCAAAGCAUUUUGGAAGCCAGAAACAUAUUUCCUGGAUGUAAAAGUCAAAAGGGAUCAUUUGGAUUCUCUUAUUAUAAACAGGGUUUUUGGGUUUUCCACUGUGUUUUGUAUGUAGGUGGUAUUUGUGCAAGGAAAAUGCCCAAAAGAGACAGAAGUAUGUGCCAACCCAGCCUGUUCAAGGUGUCUCUGCUUUGCUUCUUGAAUCUCUUAAUUAUUACAAAGUCAGUAUUCCUCAGGCCAGAGAGAGAAAGGCUACAGAGGGGAAUCUGUGCAUGCACCAGAGCUGUGAGAAAAUGUGAAAGUUCUGUUCUCACUGAUUUAUAACAGGGCUUGAACUGAGAUUUUUGUUAUCUAGGCUGCUGCUCUUCUGGGAAACAUAAUUUUCCAUCCUGGACCUAAAAAGUUUUUUAGAGAUGCAAUUUUGAUAUACUUUCACCCCAAAUUUGCACUUUUCUUCAAGUUGGCAUCUUCUGACUGAAACACAGGCAGCUGGAAAAUUGCUGCGCUGGAAUCCCACGCGACCUCUUGCACAACGGGCUUCACAGAACCUCAUGUGGUAAUUUCAGCAUUAUAUCUGUCAGGCAUGGAGCUUGAAUUGCGUAGAGGUAGCAAACCUUUUAGAAAACUGUUCCUUUUGGGUUUUCACCAGGCUGCUGUAGUGUGAAUCUGGCAGCUUUGAGCCUCACCAUGGCUGUCAAUACGUUAAGAGCAGCUGCGUACGUGUGUACCACAGUAAGAGCAGGGGAAUGGAAGUCACUGGCUGUCUGGCCGAGGAGCAGGAGUCCCUUCAUCUUUUAGCACCAAGCCCUGUGGCACUUCUGCAGUGGUUUUACAUCCGAGAGCCGGGGCAGCGGAGCAGAGCGCGUUGUCUUCUGCAGGAUCCCAAGACCAACGUGAUGGGCCCAGGCCGAGCACCCUGUCCUGUCAUGGCCAUUGAAUGAGAGGGGCGAGCUGUCCCCUGCCACAUCCAGGCCACCAGAUUGUCCUCUGAGGAACAUACCUGCUCCCCACAUGGUGGGGUAGUGGCAGCAAGGCUGCUUUGUGGCCCUCAGACCACAGCUGUACCCAGGGGUACAAGGUAUAACAGGGAAGAAAUGUUUCUCCUCACAACACUGCACAAUCACAAGGGCUCUUUUAGCUUUAACGCCGUGUGUUUGAGAGGUCUGCUUGGCAAGCAGCUGAACAGCCCCGUGGCCUGUGUGAAGGAGCAGCAUAUUUAGGAGAAAAUAUAUGGCUCUUUGUUAAUAAAUAACAAAGUAUAGGGGAAGUUCUGUGUAGGGGGCCGCGGCAGGACCAGGCUGAGUGUGUGCAGAGUCGAGGGCUCUGUUCCAAGAGAAGGGAGCUUUUGUGUGGCGCAGUGUUACAGGGGUGUAACAACAUGUGUAAGGUCCUGGAUAAAAGCUGAUGGGCCUGGGGGCCGCUGAGCUCACUUUUCUGGAGAAUGGCAGAGGUGUGCCCAUUUCUAGGGGCUGCCAGAGCCUGGGCUCUGCAGAUACGCUGUGUGAAAAGGCUGAGAGCAAGGUAAACCCCUGCCAUGUUCCUAGGCACAUAUCAUGUUUUGCUUUGUGGCCACUGGGAAAUUGUUUUUGGGGUCAUCCCAGAAUGCAGGACCCAUGGGCCUGCCUAGGAAUUGCUGAGAAACAUCCACCAGGCCUCCCUUGCCCUCCUUCCAUUACUGGGGCCUAUCCCCAGCACAAAAUUUCCCUCAAGAGCUUUCCCUACUGACUAUGUUAUCACACAAAUAUUUCACGUCUCAUUCAGUUUCAGGUUCCUUGACAGGCAUCAGAAUAACCUCGUGAUGCUGCAGUGAGGUAGAGAUUUAGAUUUCGAUCUACUUUAUUGGGAAGAAAUAACACUAAGAAGUCAGGUCCUAAGCAUUCAAAUGCACAUGUUUGAUGACAGAUGCUUAAAUCAAUGCUUAAACACCCAAAUGUGUUGCCUGGCCCUGAUCCUUGAAAGCUGUUAAGCACUUGUAAUUCUAUUAAUUUAAUGCCAGUUUAACAGGCAGGCAUCUUCUGCUACCACCCCCUUCACUGAAGAGACAGAAGUGCAGAAUUGUUACUGAAAACCUCUGAUUUCAUCCUGGUUAAGUCCUGCAGCAGAUGAUAAAGAUGUAAUGUUGCACUUCCCAGAACCAUGACUCAGUCUUCAGCACUCACGAGGGCAUUGUAAGGUCUUUUAAAAUUACUAUUUGGAUGCUCAUUACUUGUUUUCUGGCUGAGGGUUCAAACUGUCAAGAUUUCCACAAGCUCAUCACCACAACAGCUAAAAAAUUCCCUGAAGCUCAUCCUUUUGUGUUAACCCAUGACUCCAGAAACUGGGACUUGAUGAAAACACACUAAAUAUAAUGAAACUUGGGAUGAAAAGAGCACAAUCGGCAUCUUGGAGAGUUUUGUAUAGACGCUAACAGUUAUAAGCCUGGUUUUCCUUGGAGAAAUGAUGGGCUACAAGUGGCACCUUCUUGUUUGGAUGACUUUUGCCAGGAAUCCCACAGAGUCAGCACAGCAGAGGGAGGGUGAGGUUGCUUCUCACCCUCCUUGUGCCUUGUCAACAAUAAAAGUGCGCAAACACAGACUGCAAUUUUUUGUUUAAUUGAGUGAGAUGAUUUGAGAGAACCAGCUGUUACUUUUCUCCCCAGGGAAGCUUUUGGGCUGACAUAACCCAGCAGCAGGGAAGUGGAUGGUUGUGGCAGGGGGAUGGUAAGGCAGGGCAGGCGUUGGGUCUAACGCCUUCCCAAACCGAAUUGCAAGUCUGUCACUAUCAAGUCUUGAAGGGAAUGGCUCAGAAGGCAGUUGACAUAGGUUAAGGACUCUAAGAGCAGCAGAAGUACCGUGGCAGCACACAUCAGAGCAGGGAUGCUGUGGCAGCCACCCCAUUUGUAGGAGUUCAAUCCAGUGUCACCGUGGGGGCCGUGUUCUUGCUCCUCCUUGCACUCGUAUCGCACCCCUCAAGGCUCACUGGUGGCAAUGAAUGGACCUUUAUCAGCCUGAAAUGAAAGCGUGGCUGUGCUAGUAACCACACAGCUUGGCCCUGGGUAAGCCCUUGGUGGUUGGUAAUGAAAUUCAGGGAAUUCCAGACACAAGUGCUUCUUCAUUUCCCUCUGCUUUUAUCUGAAUGACCGGAGUAAUUUGUGCAGAGGAAUGGAAGAUCUUGAAGGCCAUGCCAGAUAGCUCGCUGCACAGCACAGCCUCCCAGAUGCUCGCAGCCUGCAGGUCACUUUGCAAGCUUUUCACUUCCCCUGGCAGGGAAUCGAGAGAUAGGAGCAUACCAGAGGGAAGGGGUGCCGUUCCCGAUGUGUUCGUCUGUCGCUGUGUGCGAGUGUAGCGAUAAGGUGCAUCUGGCACGAAGUCUCCCUGUGUUUCCUCCGUGCUUGCUGACAUGGGGAGCUACUGUGCUGCUCUGUGCUAUGGCUCAUUGCCCCUGCGACUGAAAGAAUUCAAUUCAUUUCAUCUUUCAAUGGCAUUGCCAUGUAGGGGAAGGAAUUACUUUCUUUUUGUUGUUUGAAAGACUAGUGUGCCUGCAAUCUUAUGCAGUCUGUGAUUAAGAAGAGUAGCUGUGGGCUGUGCCUAUAUACAGCUGCAGAAGCACCUUGGAACAACCUAACACCCAUGAGCUGCUGCAAAAUUCAGUAUGGUCCUGUAUCACCACUGAGAAUUUUUGGAGAUAACAUUUUUUGGGGUGAAAAGCACUGGUUUAUCAUAACUGAAACUUUGAGGAAAAGUUUGAUUUCAGUCACUCAUCAGGUCCAUUGAAAAAAAUAAAAAAUCCAACAACUGACAGCCCCACUGCUAUUAUCAUCUGUUUCACAACUGUGCCUGGGGGACUUAGUCUUGGAUCAGGACGGACUAAUUGUUGUACGAAUGAAGAA